UUCCAAAAUUGCACUUGAAAUUGGGGCUAAUUUGUACUUCAGAGGAUCCUUUAAGGAGACCAAGCAUGGCUCCUGUCCAGAAUCUGGUUUUGGUUUUCCUUUCUCUUUCUAUCACCUUCUUCAUUGAUCAGCAAAGCCAAGCCAUGGAUCCAAAUCCAAACCGAAACUUAUCCUCUCCAACUUGGAAGUGGAAGAAUCAUGGUCAGACUCAGUGAAAUGAGUGAUAAAUUGGAAAGAAGAUAGCGACUCAACCUCUAUUGCGUGGUUUGAAUAGUUUUGGGCUUAGGCCCUCCAAAGUAUAAGAAAAAAUAUUAUGGCCACAGAGUACAUGCCUAUGUUUAAAUUGCUUGGAAAUAGGGCAUGUGGUGGGUAUGAUCAACUACAUCAAGAAUCAGUGGAGAACUUGGAUAUGAGAGAUUUUGAACUUGACAAAAUGAGCCUAGAUGACCCAGCUAUGGUGAUAUACGAUGAUGACAUGGCAGAUUGGUAGGUAUGCAACAUUUAAUGAAAUGAGGUUGUAGCUUGUGGUCCUUCCUUUGAUGCAUAUAAUUUGAUGUCUCUGCCUUUUGUCUCCGUUGUUGAUUUAGGCUGAAGCUUUUCUUAUGAAAUGACAAGUUUGUUUUGGGACACAAUUGCUCUUAAUGAGAAUGUGCUUGCGUAAAUAUCAAUUGUUAGUAUGAAAGUAACUAGGUAAUAUUUAGCAUAUUAAAAGAACAGAAUAGACAAAAUUCUAUAAGUAAGUUCAUAUAUUUAAAUUACUUCAGUUUCAUUCUUGAAAAUGUAUUUUGUAUGCUUACUUAGAUUACUUACCAUUUGUAUCCUUGAUGUUCUCCUAUAUGUGUAUGUGUUGCUGGAGCCAGAACACCACUUUCACCCUUAUAUAACCUAUCAAGUUUUGGGAGCCUCAGAGUCAAUGGAUCAAACUUUUCUGUUUCUGCUAAGAAUUAUGCAGAUUUUCUCUUUGGUAAACAAGAUUACAAAUUCAGUGGCAUCUCCUAAACAGAUUAUAGAACUGAUGCAAGUGGAAGACUUGACUAAUGGUAAAGGCAAAAGCCAUUUACAAGCAGUGAAGAUGGUAUUGUGAUGGUUGUGCAAAGGCCAAGUAGCAGAGUUGAUGUGGAAAAUAUGGUCUCUUAAUUAUGAUUUAUGGGUUGAAGAGUUGAUGUUUUGAAAAAGAGAGAAAGAGACUAAGAAGGGAGUUGUGCUAAAAAGGGAACAACGAACUUGGACAUGUGCUAGCCUUAUCUCUUAAUUUUCAUUAUGAUUUAGUAGGUUUGUCUUAUGGAUGGUUUGAAUUCUGGGUUUUAUUUUACAGCAUUGUUAAUUUUAUGAUUUGAAUCUUGCAAUGCCUAAAUGAUGUUACUCUUCAGCGAGGGAUGUUGCCUCUUUUGCAUUAGCUACAAAAGGGUGACCUGUGCUGGAUGAAAGAAGUUGAAAAUGGUAAUUGGUAGUUUUUUUCUGCAUAUUAUGUUGGCCUGAAGUGGGAUGUUAAAAUACUAAUGAUGGAUAAAUUUUGUUGUUAUUGAAGUUUUAUCAUGCAAUAGUUGUUUUCAACCUAAAUUUGCUUUUCUCACAGUUAAAUUUUGGAAAAUCAUUCUUUUAGUUUUACUUUUUGUUCUAGACUUCUUGGUCAAGAAGUUAGAUCAUUGAGAGGAAUUUCAGAUAUUACUAAAACUUCACAGUUGAGAAGGAUGGAUGUAUAUCAAGAUGGACAAAACUGCAGUACAUUUUAUUCUAAUGUUUUAGGGUAUACUUCUUAAUAGUAAAAAGUGAAAAAUAAAUAAGGAGUGCAUAUAGGUCUCAACUAUAGUUAAUUAUAAGAAUAUGAAGAUUAUGUGUCACAUGGAUGUACUUACCCAUGAACAACACAUUCACCGAUAUGCUUUUGAUGGCUCUUCCUUUUUCACCUUUCCUCCUUAUUGCACCAAUGCUGAUGCAUUGAAUUGGCUAACAUAUCGAAGAUUUCGCCAUCCUUCCCCUUUAGCAUUCUGGACCGAUAAAAAAUGUUCUUUCUUAUUUUAUUAUUUUCUUGCAGAGGUGAGCUGACUCAAACUAAGUGAUUUGAACAUUGUGAGCAAAAGUGCUGGCGCCUUUUAUAAUUAUUGUAUUUAUUUUGGUUAUUGUAUUUAUCUUUCUAAUGAUAGAAGACUUGAUUCUAUGAACUUGUGGUUGCAGCUAAGCUAGGCCUCUCCCUCAUCUCCUUCUGUAAGGCUUAGCCUCACUAACAAUUAUGGAAAAUAGUUGUAGUUUUUUGAUAGUUAUUUUAGUGCUAUGAUAACUCGAAUUUAAUUUAAUAACUGCUCCAAGUUCUUUUAGAAUUCUUGGACUAUACAUGCAAAUUCAUGUCAUAAAGAAUUGCAAUUUAUGUUCGCUUCCUCAGGUGAAUAAUGAGCAUCCAUUGAGUAAGGUCAUUGUCGAGUAUGCCAAAAAAUUCAGAGAUGAAGAGAAACCUUCUUUGUCAGAGGGAGAAUUCAAAGACGUAAAGAACCAUUCUUACUUAUUUAAGAUACUUAUGCUUAUGUGCAAAUAGAGAAACAACUUGCUUAGGCAACUAGAGUGAUAUACCAUGUGCAGAAUGAAUAAAGCAUAAUGAAAUUUAUUAUGGAAUAAAGAUCUUGUGACUUAUUUUUACUCUCAUUGUCCUUAUUCAUUUUCGUCUUUGGGCAAGGCUAGGGACAAGCUUUUCCCAAUUUUGGAAACAAAAACAAACUAUAAGUUUAGUACGUAGUUUGGGCAGGCUAUUUGAGAUGACAUUCUUUUUUGUAAUUGUCUCUACUUUAAUAGAGAUUUAGUAGAAAUCUCAUGUUCAUCUUGUUGACUUGCAGAAUUUAAUUGCAUUGUAGUCAGUUAACCUUAUGGUAUUUUGCUAAUGCCUUAUGAAUAUUAACAAAGUUUGUACAAAGUAACUUCACUUA